rnacentral:SRP_RNA from 14 species
CCGGGCAGAAGGCCCGCGUCGCUCAGCUGCUGGUAGUAACGGAAGUCGAGCUGCAGGUGCUGAAGCAGAUGGCAUAGCCGCAGGGCGGAAUGCAAGCAAUGCAAAGCCU